AAUAUUGUGCCCGAAAAAUAAGGAUUAUCUUGAUAGGGUAAAAUAUGCAGGUAUCUGCCAAUAUUA
rnacentral:tRNA from 1 species